rnacentral:rRNA from 1 species
GUAGGUGGCAAGCGUUGUCCGGAAUUAUAGGGCGUAAAGCGCGCGCAGGCGGUUCUUUAAGUCUGAUGUGAAAGCCCACGGCUCAACCGUGGAGGGUCAUUGGAAACUGGAGAACUUGAGUACAGAAGAGGAAAGCGGAAUUCCACGUGUAGCGGUGAAAUGCGUAGAGAUGUGGAGGAACACCAGUGGCGAAGGCGGCUUUCUGGUCUGUAACUGACGCUGAGGCGCGAAAGCGUGGGGAGCAAACAGGAUUAGAUACCCUGGUAGUCCACGCCGUAAACGAUGAGUGCUAAGUGUUAGGGGGGUUUCCGCCCCCCUUAGUGCUGCAGCUAACGCAUUAAGCACUCCGCCCUGGGAGUACGGCCGCAAGGCUG